AGGGUUUGAUCAUGGCUCAGAACGAACGUUAGCGGUGUGGAUUAGGCAUGCAAGUCGAGCGAGAAAGCCUUCGGGUGAGUACCGCGGCGCAAGGGUGAGUAACACGUAAUCAACCUACCCCCCAGACUGGAAUAAUCGCGGGAAACUGCGGGUAAUGCCAGAUGGUUUCAGCAGUUGGCAUCAACUGCUGAUUAAACGGCGGCUUCGGCUGCUGCUGGGGGAGGGGAUUGCGGCCUAUCAGCUUGUUGGUGGGGUAAUGGCCUACCAAGGCAAUGACGGGUAGCCGGUCUGAGAGGAUGGUCGGUCACACUGGGACUGAGACACUGCCCAGACUCCUACGGGAGGCUGCAGUCGAGAAUCUUCCGCAAUGGGCGAAAGCCUGACGGAGCGACACCGCGUGCAGGAUGAAGGCCUUAGGGUUGUAAACUGCUGUCACGCCAUAGGAAUGGCGCGUUAUUAAUAGUUGCGCGUUUGACUAAAGCGAAAGGAAGCACCGGCUAACUCCGUGCCAGCAGCCGCGGUAAGACGGUGGGUGCAAACGUUGUUCGGAAUCACUGGGCAUAAAGCGCAUGCAGGCGGCCAUCUAAGUCAGGUGUGAAAUCCCACGGCUCAACCGUGGAACGGCAUUUGAAACUGGAUGG
rnacentral:rRNA from 1 species